UAAUGUAGACCGACACAUUGGAAAGGGUUAGAGAGCUCCCAAUAUAUAAUGUAGACUGGCACAUGGAAAGGGUUAGAGAGCUCCCAAUAUAUAAUGUAGACUGACACAUUGGAAAGGGUUAGAGAGCUCCCAAUAUAUAAUGUAGACUGACACAUUGGAAAGGGUUAACAGUUGUCAUGUGUAUUGGCUCUAAACCAAUCAUUGGUCAUUGUUUUAGCAGUAUAAUGUUAUGUUUUAAGCCUGCUGUGGUUUAAAGGGGCAUUUUUUUCUCUGGGUUUUGUUGCCAUAUUUCCUUCCGUUGUAUCUKUUCAUAUGAGACCACCUAAAGCAUUGACUGGUGAUCUGGUAACAUAUGUAUGACAACCAACAUGGAUGAUCCAAUUCAUUAUUUAAGCAGAAAUAAAUUGUGAUUAAACUGAAACAGUC